rnacentral:lncRNA from 1 species
GUAAGUGUGCUCACUCUUGCUUCUUCGGAUUACGGACCCCGGCUGACGCAGUCAUCGCAGUGCCAAACGAUGACGACGCCUUUGUACCCAAGGAUGCCGUCCUCAAAGCGUCGCCGACGCGCGAGGAUAAAAAGAACGACACGUUUGUGCGGCUGUUCGAGGACGGCGACGCCAAGCCUCUGACGGUCAAGGAGGA